rnacentral:tRNA from 1 species
GGAGGGUACAGCUCAGUGGUAGAGCAUGUGCUUAGCAUGCAUGAAGUCCUGGGUUUAAUCCCCAGGACCUCUA